UGCCAGCAGCCGCGGUAAGACAGAGGGUGCAAGCGUUGUUCGGAAUUACUGGGCAUAAAGAGCACGUAGGCGGCUCGUCAAGUCACGCGUGAAAUCCCCCGGCUCAACCGGGGAACUGCGUGUGAUACUGAUGGGCUAGAGGACGGUAGGGGUGAGCGGAACUCCAGGUGGAGCGGUGAAAUGCGUAGAUAUCUGGAGGAACACCGGUGGCGAAAGCGGCUCACUGGACCGUAACUGACGCUGAGGUGCGCAAGCUAGGGUAGCAAACGGGAAUAGAUA
rnacentral:rRNA from 1 species